CAUGCAGAGCAGGAUGACUGUUCCUGCCCCAAAUGAGAGCUGAUUCAACACAUUUAGUUUCAGUUAGUUGAGUGCUAACUUCUGUUGAGUUUUACCUACAUCUUAUGUCAGUGUUGGGUUAUGGUGUCUAUACUUACCAUCUUCCAAUUUAGCCCAAUAUCACAAAUUUGACUUUCAAUUAAGGGGUUUUACAGCAUACGAAACCUUCUGUCCUCUGACCCUUGAUUUGGAUAUGGAAAAACUUCCUGAAAUAAACCCUAUAAUGGUGAAAAAAUGGAAAAAAAACUCAAGAGACGAGGGAUCCCUCUUCCAGGAUGGACAGUGAUGCAAUAUUUGUUGUGUGUGCAAAAUAGACAAACAUGGUACAAUUACAGUUUUGACACUGAGUAUGACCAGUUAUAAAUUGUAAACAUGCAUGAAC